UACAGAGGGGGCAAGCGUUAUUCGGAAUUAUUGGGCGUAAAGGGCGCGUAGGCGGCUUUUCAAGUGACGGGUGAAAUCCCUCGGCUUAACCGAGGAACUGCCUGUCAGACUGGAAGGCUUGAGACCGGGAGAGGUGAGUGGAAUUCCCAGUGUAGCGGUGAAAUGCGUAGAUAUUGGGAGGAACACCGGUGGCGAAGGCGGCUUCCUGGACUGACACUGACGCUGAGGCGCGAAAGCUAGGGGAGCAAACGGG
rnacentral:rRNA from 1 species